rnacentral:tmRNA from 1 species
CUGGGGUCCCGUGCCGAUGCCGGUGGCGAGGCGGGACCCGAGACUCGACCGCCGGCUGCGCUCGGAGAAGGCCCAUCGAGAAGCUGAAGGACGCGGGUUCGAUUCCCGCCACCUCCACAA